rnacentral:rRNA from 1 species
AUGGCUCAGGGUGAACGCUGGCGGCGUGCUUGACACAUGCAAGUCGAACGGUAUGUGGCAACACAUAGAGUGGCGAACGGGUGAGUAACACGUGGGAACGUACCAUCUGCAGGGGGAUAACUGACCGAAAGGACAGCUAAUACCGCAUAAGUCCGGAAGGAGAAAGGUGCAAUAGCAUCGGCAGAAGAGCGGCCCGCGGUCCAUCAGCUAGUUGGUGAGGUAAGGGCUUACCAAGGCGACGACGGAUAGCCGGCGUGAGAGCGUGGCCGGCCACAAGGACACUGAGAUACGGGUCCUACUCCUACGGGAGGCAGCAGUGCGGAAUUUUAGAUAAUGGAGGGAACUCUGAUCUAGCGACGCCGCGUGCCAGGAAGAAGGUCUUCGGAUUGUAAACUGCUGUGGUAAGGGAAAAAUGCUAUGUAGAGUGGAAAGCUACAUAGAGGGAUGGUACCUAACUAGAAAGCCCCGGCUAACUACGUGCCAGCCGCGGC